GCCCAGGUGGCGGAAUUGGCAGACGCGCCAGCUUGAGGUGCUGGUGGGAGCAAUCCCUUGGAGGUUCGAGUCCUCUUCUGGGCA
rnacentral:tRNA from 1 species